UACAGAGGUGGCAAGCGUUGUCCGGAAUUAUUGGGCGUAAAGGGCUCGUAGGCGGUUUGUCGCGUCGGGAGUGAAAACACCGGGCUUAACUCGGUGCUUGCUUUCGAUACGGGCAGACUAGAGGCAUGCAGGGGAGAACGGAAUUCCUGGUGUAGCGGUGAAAUGCGCAGAUAUCAGGAGGAACACCGGUGGCGAAGGCGGUUCUCUGGGCAUGUCCUGACGCUGAGGAGCGAAAGUGUGGGGAGCGAACAGG
rnacentral:rRNA from 1 species